rnacentral:ncRNA from 1 species
UCAAGUACGAAUAGCAGACCGUGAAAGCGCGGCUAUCGAUUGCCCUUUGAUUAAUCAGCAGUUUUGAUGCAAGGCGGUGAUCAGAAAAAGUUACACAGGAACGAAGGGAUAUACUGUUGGCUUGUGGCGGCCAAGGUUUCAUAGCGACGUCGCUUUUUGAUCCUUCGAUGUCGCUGCUUCCUAUCAUCUGUUGUGAAGCAGGAAAUUCACCAAAGCGUUGGAUUGUUCACCACCCCACUCAAUAGGGAACGUGAGCUGGGUUUAGACGCGUCGUGAGACACGAGGUUAGUUUUACCCUAACUGAUGUCUUGUCGUUGCUAUGGUAAUCCUGCUUAGUUACGAGAGGGAACCGCAGGUUCAGACAUUUGGUUUAUGUGCUUGGUCGAAAGACCGAAAUGUGCGAAGCUACCAUCUGAGGGAUUAAAAGACUGAAAGCCUCUUAAGUCUGAAUCCCGCCCAGAAAUGCAACGAUACUAUCGGUGCCCCUACGCCGGGACAGGCGGCACACGAUAUACUCGGCCGCGAAAAUCCGGAUUUCGGCGGCCGAGACUGGCUAAAGCCAUGAACGUGGCGAUAUGCUCUGGCCACAUGCGCCACAGCUCCGCUGUCUUGAAAUUUGCAGUGGAGGCACAGACACGAUGCGCCACCCUACCACUUGAUUGAGACGUAGGGGUUCUAUUAUCGUUUGUAGACGACUUAGAUCUCGGUCGGCGCGUGCCGUACUGUAGUUGAGCAGUCUAGAUUCUUCACUGCGAUCUAUUGAGGCUAAGCCUUUUGACGGGGAGAUAUAU